GCCGCUAGCCCACUGUCUACUCCUCGUGUUCCCCGCCGAGCCAAUCACCUUCGUUCCUUGUUUUCGGAUCCACUCCACCAACCAACGAAACCACCACCCACUCGUUUUGGACCGCUAGAUCACAGAUCCGACGGCCUAGGAGGCUCCCCAACGCCCCUGCGUUCGUCCCUGCCACCCGGCCGCAGCUCCCUCGCCCCCGCUCGAUCUGGCCGCUGAGAUCCCGAGCGCCUCGACCCCAAGCUCCAUCACCCGCCGGUGGCCUUAGAUGGAGACCUCCAUGGCUGCUCCAGCUAGCUCCGUCGCUGUCGUUUCGUGCCAGGAAUGGGUGGAUCCAGGCUCCCCGCACCCAGAUCGGACACUGCCACGUCAUUCCGACGCGCCGCAUCUUCGCCCUCCGGGACGGCAUCGAACAGCAAGCAGCCGCCGCCCCACACCGUUGAACGCGUCCCCCCGAACCGGUCUUCCCUCCUCGCCGUUGACCGCGUCCUGCCGCGUGGGCCGCCUCCAGCGCCCUCCUGGCCGCAUCUCGCUUCCUGGCCCAGCGACUGUGGAGCUGGCCUGCUCGACCGCACCCCCUGGGCAGCCUCCACCCACAAGCACCAAGGCCCAAUCGCCCGUGCCCUGCUGCAGCAUUAGCCCACCAAAUCCGCUGGCCCAAGGCCCGCGAGAUGCAGGGCCUGAUGACUCCGUUCCAGAUGACGCGCUUAAGCUCAAGUG